rnacentral:lncRNA from 1 species
CUGGGCAACAGUGCGAGAUUCAAACAAACAAACAAAAAGUAACUAGGAAAGUGUUUUACAUGUGGGCUUAUUAUAAGAAGAAAUUUACUAAAAGCUGAGAGAUGGGUCUCAAUAAAACUUGCUGAUUCAAAGAAAGUGGAUGGGAACUUUACUGAUCUUGGUUUAAAAUAUCCUGAGUCACCUGCCUUAUGAGGUGGAAGGUCUUUCUUUCUUAUUAUAUGUACACCUUUAAUUGAAGAGGUGAGAAAAGCUCCAUAUUGUGAUGCUAUGAUUUCCCCAAGGCUUACCUUCUAUAAGCAGUCAGUGAUAAAGUGCUGUUGACCCACAUUUGUUUAGAAUUAUUUCAUUAAAAUUGGGGCAUGGCCUAGCAGUUUAUAAUAAAUAUUUAUGGAUAAUUUUAUUGGCUUUUAAAAGAUACUGUAAAAUUGACAUAUCUCAAAAUGGAGUUAAUUUAUAUUUACAACAAACCAAACACAAAUAUCAAUUAUGGAAUUACAGGGUCACAUUUUAAUUCCUGAAUUUUACAGUUUAGCAUUAAUAUCACCACAUGUAUACAAAUGGUGUAAAACAAGUACAGUGGUAUUUUUAAUACAAAAUAAACAUCUGUUUUAUGGAAAAACUAUACUUCAUAUCUACACAGACAGCUCAUCUUUUCCAAACAAUAGCCAAAAUUAAAAUUAACUACAAAAUCUCCAAAACAGGGGAAACUGCUUCAGAUUAAACUAUUCCAGGAAAAAUGGACCCGUAACACAUUACAAGGGUGAUCUAAAGAUUGUAGUUGAAAUUACUGUUAAAAUUUUUUUCCCCAAUGCAUUAAAUUGUAUUUUGGGGACAUUUUUCUCACUUCGGCAUGAUCUCAGAUCAUAGAUGAUCAAACUAACAUUAAAAUAUUUACAGUUAACUUGUUGCUCUAAAAAUAAAACUUCUUAACUGUUUGCCUCAAUUUAUUUUUAAAAUUCACUUACGUACAUGGAAUGUGCUUUUACUCUUCUUAAAAAAGCAGUUUUCGUAUCACACCCUUGUUUACAGAAAAGCUACAUGUGCUUCAUGCUGACUUUGACACUUAAGUAGCUUCUUGGAUCAAAAUGGCUUCUAGAUACUAAAUGCCACUUAAUUCAGCACUAUUCUUUGUUGGUCUGUAUAAGUAACACUUUAAAACUUGCAGCUCUGGAAAGAGAGAGAACUUUACUAACAAAGUAGAAAGUGAUUUCAAACUAUCUUCCACAAAAGAUUGUACUGGUAGGCGGUUGAAAACAUUCUAUUC